rnacentral:rRNA from 1 species
AUGAACGCGGCGGAAUGCUUUACACAUGCAAGUCGAACGGUAGAGGGGGCAACCCCUUGAGAGUGGCGAACGGGUGAGUAAUAUAUCGGAACGUGCCCAGUCGUGGGGGAUAACGUAGUGAAAAUUACGCUAAUACCGCAUACGAUCUAAGGAUGAAAGCGGGGGAUCGCAAGACCUCGCGCGACUGGAGCGGCCGAUAUCAGAUUAGGUAGUUGGUAGGGUAAAGGCCUACCAAGCCAACGAUCUGUAGCUGGUCUGAGAGGACGACCAGCCACACUGGAACUGAGACACGGUCCAGACUCCUACGGGAGGCAGCAGUGGGGAAUUUUGGACAAUGGGCGAAAGCUUGAUCCAGCCAUUCCGCGUGCAGGAUGAAGGUCUUCGGGUUGUAAAGUUCUUUUGUACAGAACGAAAAGGUUUCUAUUAAUCAUAGGAGCUCAUGACGGUUCCGUAAGAAUAAGCACCGGCUAAAUACGUGCCAGCAGCCGCGGUAAUUAGUAGGGUGCAAGCGUUAAUCGGAAUU